AUCUGAAAGCUUACAGUCUCAACUCUCAACUGUUCUUAAAUUUUCAACCCUUAUCAGUUUCCCAUGAUAUCAUGACAUAAAACUCGGAUCAUAACUUGAUUAAUGGAGACCGAAAUUCUAAGAAAUCCAACAAUCAAAGAGACCUAAAAUUCCAUGAAUCUGAUGAGUAGGAAUUCAUUCAAUACAGAUAUGAUUUAUAGAUCUCGCUAAACAUUUAACAAUAGGAUACAUCACAUUUUCCUCUUUCCGCCAUGGAAAUAAUUCUGAUAUGGCCUCAAGAAUAAUCCUUUUCAUUUUCAUCCUAAUAUCAACACUGGCUAGGAUAAUUUUGAUAGAUCCCAAUGCUCGGCUUUAACCUCUUUACAACUUAGAUUUUAUGUAACAUCGAAUGCUCUAAACUAUCACAUUACCUCACUGUCUUGAAACACAUCACAAUUCAUACAACAGUACAUUACUGAAAGCCAAGAAGUCUUUGCUCAAUGUAGACUAGUCUAGUUCAGACGCUUCGGUUACCGAUAUUCUCAUCUAUCCGAACUCUGUCAACAUGUAAUAAACUUUUCAGCUUUCACAAGACGAAAACCUUAUCAUUCGUAGUGACUUUAACUAAUAUCCAACUCUUUCUAAUAAAUAUACACUUCUCGUUCAGACUAUUUACUCUUUUAUCUGUACAAAAUGAAAUUCUAUUAUCAGACUUGAGAAAAAUAAUCUUGACAUAAUUGUCACAUGAAAUCUUUCAAAUAAAUAAUUCACCAUACCGACUGAAACUCGCGCUUUUAUCACUUAUGCCUUUACUGAUGUCAAAUCCUUACACAGAAAUUAGAAAAAUCCUAAUACUAAAAUCACCACAUUACCAAGAUCAAAUCAAAAGUAUAGUCAUAUUUGACAUGAUUAUCACGAGCUGAAGAACGCACUUCGAACACGAGUCAUAAUUGACAAAUUAUGGAACAAAGAUAACAAGGAAACCGAAUAAAGAAAUCCAAGAUAGAGAAAUCCAGAAUAAAGAAACCCAAGAUAUGAUACUAUGCUGGAGAAUCGAAAACCAAACUCAUAGAGAAAAUACAGAAUACCUCAAUAAUUCUUCAAAGAAAAAAAGUCCAAAAGAAAACAUCAUUUAAUCCCACUGGAAUCAAAUAUAACAAGAACAAUAUAUCUUCCCAUACAUAUAUAUCAGAUGAAGCAUCAAGUAGAAGAAACAGAAACAUAAUAUCUUACGUAUUCUCUCAUCAAUUCUUAUCAGACGAAAUGAAAUAGAAUACCCGAUGAAAUAGAGCAAUAUAAAUUAUAAACCAGUCAGACUACCAAUGCUUUCAUCCAACACCAGAAUUAGAAGACAUUCCCAUAUAACAAGAAUUUCUUCAGAAGAUCAAUAGCCAUAGAAAUAUUUCUGAGAACGGGUAAACACAUAGAACAUCUCAAAAGAGACUGCUAAAUCUGUCCAGUCAUAACUAUCACACUCAGAUAGUUCACAUUUCAAAUAUCAUUUCCCCAACUAGUUCUGCCAUCACAAAUUUCAUAUUAAACCAUUCACUAAAGAAGGCCAGUUCUGAAUAAAUUUCGAUUUACACUUUUCUUGACCUUGCACCUGAGCAAUUCGAUUUACCAAAGAGAAUUCCUUCUCUAACUGGGACAAUGCAUAAUUCUAAUAAUCUUUAUAUCAAUCCGAUACUUUACUAGCUCUGACUUUACUUAUCAGCUCAUUUUCAAUCUCUGAUCAUACUUAUAAUUAUUCUAUCACUGAACUCUUUGGGUUCUCAACCGGAAACUUAUUCAAUACAAAUCUCAUGAAAUUCCAUUAUAAGUACCACUUCGGUAAGGGGGAGGGGUUGUAGGACCUCUGACUCGACUUUCUUAUACAUACACAUAUGACACAACUUCCAUCAUCAUAGCAAGAUCAUCAAAAUCAUGUCAUUCAUUCAGGUAAUGCAACAUUCAUGUUGGCUUACACCAAUUUUCCUAUUGUCCCAUUUAGACAAUAUACUUAUGCAUACAUUCUAUGUUUUCUAGAUAGCUUUACUUAUCCAUUCAUUUAAUUAAUUUAAUUCAUGCUCAUGACAUCAUAUAAGGCCAAACAAACAUAGAUAUUUGUAUCACAAUCACAACUUUCAUUUCGUGCAUCAUCAUGUACAUAUCAUUAUAAUCAUAUAAUUCAGUCCAACAAUUUAACAUAGAUAAGUUCAUUUCAUUAUAAUCCUUUAUCUCAUAAAAAUUGUAUAUCAUUAACAUUCAUCAACAUUCAACGUCCAAUCAAGACAAGGACAUUUUCAUUCGUAUCAUGAUAUUAUGACCUUUAUUCAUACCUCUACUACUUUCUAUUUAUUCCGUUCAUCUUAUCAAGUAAGCCACAUACACUACAUCGUAUGAGCAUUAAGCAAAUAUGGAUAUUUAUCACAACAUGAACUUUCAUCUCACAUAUUAUCACAUAUGUAUCAUAAACUUUUAUUCAUACUUUUCUGAACCGAGACUUAUCAUAAUCAUAACUUUACUCAAAUACCUUCGCAUAAUAUUGAACAUGGUCAGCGCAGCUCGGUUGGAGAGUACCCUGUCUAAAUAAGACGGUACUUAUACGCGUCGAAAGACAUCACGCUAUCACAGAUCAGUGGCAUGUAUAGCUAAACUUUUACACAUGCUAAGUUAGUCCGAGAACCGACUAAACCUGCUCUGAUACCACCAAAUGUAACGUCCCGUACCCGAGACCGUCGCCGGAGUCGAACACGAGGUGUUAACAGACUUAAUUCAUUACUUAAACAGCUCAAACAAUUUAUUUUUAAAAUUUUCAGUUAAACUAGCAAUCUGCAUCACAGUCGCUUAAAAAUUCAUAUCUCAAGUUACGAAACUCGAAAUCCAAUUCCGUCAAUUUUCCCUGAAAAUUGACUCAUUUAUAUAUUUAUUAAUUUUUUAUAGAAUUUUUGGUCAAGCCAAUUAGUACAGUUUAUUAAUUAAAGUCUCCCCUAUUUUAGGGUUUGACUGCUCUGACCUCUGUAUAUUACGAAUCAGAUAUCUCUCUGUACAGAACUUCAAUGACUAUGAAGUUUGUUUCUAUUAAAACUAGACUCAAUAAGGAAUCUGUACAUAUAAAGAAUGACUUCUAAUUAUAUUUGUACAAUUUAUGAUAAAUUUUUAAAGUCAGAACAGGGGAUCCAGAAAUCACUCUGGCCCUGUUUCACAAAAAUUCAAAUAUCUCAUAAAAUAUAAUUCAUAUACCUGUUUUGUUUAAUCCAUAUGAAAAUGGACUCAUUAAGAUUCAAUUUCAUAACAUACUCAUCAUUUAAUUCCAUUUCUACUAUUUUUAGUGAUUUUUCAAAUUUACAUCACUGCUGCUGUUAGAAUCUAUUUUAUGGUAAAUUUUACCUAUUUCAUGGUUUCCAUGGAUUAGCUAGCAAUUUGACAUACAUAACACCAAAUAUGAUCAUGAUUAGCCAUUCCAAUGGCUAAUCAUUACCAAGCAUUUCCAUACCACUCAAUAACCAUAUCAUAAGACCAUAUAUACAAAAUGAUUAUAAUGCUAUACAUGCCAUACUCAAAAUAUACAAGCCAUUAUGCCAAGAUGGUAUACAGAUAGUGUGAGCGAACCUUCGACCGUUCCCGAUUUCCGAGCUGGCUUGUCAAAACUACAAGGAAUGAAAAGGAUGGAGUAAGCAUAAAUGCUUAGUAAGUUCACAUGCAAAUAGCAAGUAACAUAACCAUAUAAGCAAACAUAAAACAUCAUUUGCAUAAUCAUCACCAAUACAUUCAUAUCAUAUUUUCAUUUAUCAUCUUACCAUAUUAUUGUUAUAUCGAUUUUUCAACCCGAGGGUUAAAUACAUACCUGUUCAAAGUAUCCAUUUCACAACACUCACCAAUACGUCCCUUUCAUCUCUAGUAUUCCUCCAUUUGAGUAGAACUUUACCCGUUGAACACAUCGGAAUAUAAUUCGGAUACAUGGAAAGUUUGCACAUAAGUGCCACAUAUGUAGCCAAGCUACCAUGUAACCCGCCCAUAAGUGAACUCAGACUCAACUCAACGAGCUCGGGCGUUCGCAUCCACAAGUGAACUCGGACUCAACUCAACGAGCUCGGAUGCCUAGUUACAUCUCUCGAACUCGGACUCAACUCAACGAGUUCGGACAUUCGCAUCUAUAAGUGAACUUGGACUCAACUCAACGAGUUCGGAUGCUCAACCAUCCUAGUGACAUGUCACUUGUAUCCUAAUCCAUUCCUAAGGUUCAACGGGAAUUUUUUCCCAAUCAUGUGUCUCAACCAUCUUCUACGGAAUGCCGAUACCGAUACUCGGUAGUAUUUCACAUUUUCCAAGUAUAUCACACAAUUUGACAUAUUAUCAAACAAUUAUCACGAGUAUAGUAUUUCAUAAUAAUUAUCAUAUCAUUUAAAUAACAUAAAAACAUUUAAAAUAAUAACUAUGUUACCAACAUUUACAUAUGAACUUACCUCGUAUGCAAAAAUGGCUACUUUUACCAUUUCGUCCACAACUUGGUAUUUUCCCCAUUUUAGCCCGAAUUUUAGUUUUCCUUGCUCUAUCAUUUAAAAUAUAGUCUAAUUAGGACUCACAUUAUUCAAAUUGACCCAAAAUCAUAUUUUGGAAAAAUUACAAUUUUACCCCUAAACUUUUGCAUAUUUACACUUUUGCCCCAAAGCUCGUAAAUUAAACUUCAGCAUAUUUUCUUAUGUUUUAUGACAUGCUGAUCAUUUUUCCCUUCUAUGGAAACAUCAAAUUCUCACUCUAACAUGUACUUAUGACUAUUAGGUAUUUUUACCGAUUAAGCUCUUUUGCUCGUUUUCACUUAAAACCGAGUAGCACAAGUUGUCUAACAUAAUUUAAAACCUCAUAUUCUAUCAUAAAAUACCAAAAUACACAAAUUUCACCUAUGGUUAUUUUUCCAAAUAUAAAACCUAGGUUAAAUUAUUGCUAGAAUAAGCUAAAUCAAGUUACCGGGACUCCAAAAAUGUAAAAAUCAUUAAAAACGAGGCUAGAACGGACUUACAAUCGAGCUUGGAAGCUUGAAAAACCCUAGCCAUGGUUUCUCCUUGCUAUAUUCGGCCAUGGGGUUGAAGAUGAGCAAAAUUGGCUUUUAAUUUUGUAUUUUAAUUUAUUUUACCCCUAAAUGACGAAAAUGCCCUUACUAUUAAACUUUUCAAAAAUUCCAUCCAUGUCCAAUUUUUGUCCAUAGACUUAUAAAUAGGUAAAAUUGCUAUUUAAUACCUUCUAAUUAAUAUUUCAAAACAAUUUCAUACUAGAAACUUCUAGAAUGCAAGUUUUGCAAAUUAUUCGAUUUAGUCCCUAAUUUCAAUUUAAGCACUUUAUGCAUAAAAUUUCUUCACGAAAUUUUCACACAAUCAUGCAAUCAUAUCAUAGACCUCAAAAUAAUCAUAAAAUAAUUAUUUCUAUCUCGGAUUUUAUGGUCACGAAACUACUAUUCCGACUAGGCCCAAAAUCAGGAUAUUACACAUAUUCUACUGUUUGACAAUUUCGACCCUUCUUCACUAAAAAUUAAUUAUCUCACAGUACAGAACUCGGAUAAUAUUCCCGUUGAUUUAUCCUGAAAAUAGACUCAUUAAGGAUUCUAAAAAUAUAAAUUUAAGCCUCUAAUUAUUUUUCUCCAAUUUUUGGUGAUUUUGCAAAGUCAGAACAGGGGAACCCGAAUUCAUUCUGACAUUGUCUCACAAAAUUCAUUAUAUAUCAUAAUUUACAAUUCAAUUGCUUACACCGUUUCUUCUAUAAGAAACUAGACUCAAUAAGCUUUAAUUUCAUUUUUUUUCAUCUUCUAAUUUUAUUUCUACAAUUUAUAGUGAUUUUUCAAAGUUAGUCUACUGCUGCUGUCCAAUAUUGUUUUAGUGCAAGCUGUUUGUUACCAUUUUUCCCUUAAGCUUUUAAUAAAUAACAAUUUCAUCCCUACUCAAUUAGCCUCUCAAUUGAGCUGAUUUUUCUCAAUUAAUACUUUAUUCUAUCACCUUAAACUAGUUUACAACCUUUAAGAAUAAAAAAUUCAGAAAUAAACUUUAAUUCCAAACAUUUUUACAAUUAGGUCCUAAAAAUCAAUUUCUAUUGAACUUACCUAAUAAAAUCAUCUCAUAAACAAAUUAAAGCUUUAAUUUCAUUCUAUUUCAUCAUAAAUUUACAGCACUCAACCAUGGUUACUUUCAAUUUCAUCCAUGAAAUCAAAAACUAAUGAAUUUAAUAGUAGGACCUAGUUGUAAAAGUCUUGGAAACACAAAAAUUACAAGAAAAAGGCAAGUAUUAACUCACUCGGUGCAAAAAUUAUGGAAUACCAGCUUAGAUAACCCUCCUAUGGCGUUUUUAGCUGCUGGGAUUGAAGAGAAAUGAAGAGAAAUCUAGAUAUUUCCUAUUUAGUCCUAGUUUUAUUUAGUUAAUUUUGCAAUAUUCCAAUUUUUCCCUUAAUUUAUCAAUUUUCUUGCUGAUUUCAUGCCCUUGUCGUCCAGCCCAAAUAAAUUUUGGGUCCAAUUCCUUUUAAACCCUCUCUCAUUAGACACUUAAGCUAUUUAAUCAUCCCAUCCAUUUUUACACCUUUUACAAUUUAGUCCUUUUCAUUUAAUUAACUAUCAAAACAUUAAAAUUUCCUAACAAAAUUUUAAUACCACAUUACUAACAUUUCAUAAAUAUUUAUAAAAUUAUUUUCGACUCGAUUUUAUGAGAUAUUGGUCCCGAUACCUUAUUUUACCCAAUUUCUUCAAUAAUUUCUUUUUCUAACUAACCACUAAAUCGGUAAAAUUUUUCUAUCAAUAUUUUCAUACGAUUUUCCUAUCAUAUCAAUUUUCAUGCAAAAAUAUUGAAAUAAAUUUAUCUUUAAAUCAGAUUUGUGGUUACGAAACCACUAUUCCGAUAAUCUUGAAUUUAGGCCAUUACAACUCUCCCCUCUUUAGGAUUUUCGUCCUCGAAAAUCUUACCAGUAAAGAGGUUUGGGUAUUGUUUCGUCAUUGCCUCCUCCGGUUCCCAUGUCGCUUCCUCAAUACCAUGUUUUUUCCACAAUACUUUCACUAAAUUUAUCUUUUUAUUUCUAAACUCUUUUGUCUCCCGUGCCAAUAUCUUGACCGGUUCUUCACUGUAAGUCAUAUUCGGUUGAAUCUCUACUUCUGUCGGAGAAAUAACAUGUGAAGGAUCUGAUUGAUAUCGUCGUAACAUAGAUAUAUGAAAAACAUUAUGGAUUCUAUCAAGUUCUGGUGGUAAUGCCAAUCGAUAAGCGACCGGUCCAAUUCUUUCUAUGAUUUCAUAUGGCCCAAUAAAUCUUGGACUCAAUUUACCCUUUCGACCGAAUCGAAGAACUUUCUUUCAAUGAGACACUUUCAAGAAUACCUUGUCACCGACUUGAAAUUCAAUCUCUUUUCGUUUAAGGUCGGCAUAUGAUUUUUGACAAUCGGAAGCUGUUUUUAGACUAUCCCAAAUAACCUUUACUUUUUAUUUUGCUUCCCGGAUCAAAUUAACCCCAUGUAUCUUCCUUUCACUGAGUUUUGUCCAAUAUAGCGGUGUUCUACAUUUUCUACCAUACAAAGCUUCAUAUGGAGUCAUUUUAAUACUGGACUAAUAACUAUUAUUGUAAGCAAAUUCAAUGAAAGGUAGAUACCUCUUCCAAUUACCUUCAAACUCUAGUAUACAACAUCGAAGCAUAUCUUCCAAUACUUGAAUUACACGCUCAGGUUGACCAUCUGUUUAAGGAUGAAAUGCAGUGCUGAAAUACAACUGAGUACCUAAGGCUUCAUGCAAUUUGUCCCAGAAAUUAGACGUAAAUCGGGGAUCUCUAUUUGAUAUAAUAGAGACAGGCACUCCAUGUAGCCUGACAAUCUCAGAUAUGUAUAGUUCAGCUAAUUUAUCUAAAGAAUAAUCCAUACGUACCGGAGUAAAGUGCGCCGACUUUGUCAAUCGGUCAACAAUCACCCAAAUAGCAUCUUUUUUCCUCGGAGACAAAGGUAACCCCGAUACAAAAUCCAUAGUAAUUCUUUCCCAUUUCCAUUCCAGUAUAGUAAUUGGUGAAGUAACCCCGAAGGUACCUGAUGUUCAGCAUAUAACUGCUUCUCUCGCAGAAUUUGCAACACAAUUCUCAAAUGUUUUGCAUGUUCUUCUUCAUCCCGAGAAUAAACCAAAAUAUCAUCAAUGAAUACUACUACAAAUCUGUCUAAGUACGGUCUGAAUAUCCGGUUCAUCAAAUCCAUGAAUACUGCAGGUGAAUUAGUUAGCCCAAAUGGUAUAACCAGAAACUCAUAAUGUCUGUACCUGGUUUUAAAGGCUGUUUUUGGCACAUCUGACUCCUUUACCCAUAACUGAUAAUAACCUGAUCGAAUAUCAAUCUUUGAAAACACAGUAGCACCUUUCAGCUGAUCAAAUAAAUCAUCAAUCCGGGGUAACGGGUACUUAUUCUUUAUGGUUACUUUAUUAAGCUGCCGGUAGUAGAUACAAAGUCUUAAAGACCCGUCCUUCUUUUUCACAAACAGAACCCGAGCACCCCAAGGUGAAUGACUUGGUCGGACAAAACCCCUGUCAACAAGCUCUUGCAACUGUGUCUUUAACUCCUUUAAUUCAGUAGAAGCCAUCCGGUACGGAGCUAUGGAAAUCGAAAUAGUUCCCGGAAUCAAAUCUAUGGAAAAUUUCACUUCUAUUUUUGGUGGCAACCCUGGUAAUUCAUCUGAAAACACAUCGAAAAAUUCACAUACUAUUAGCACUGCCUGUAUCCUUGACUCAGAUACCUUGGUGUCGAGUACAUAAGCCAAGUAAGCAUCAUACCCUUUUUUGACAUACCUCUGUGCUGCCAUUACUGAAAUCACAUCAGAUAACCCCUCUGUCUGAUCAGAUUUAACCCGGAGCAACUUACCAUUUUGACAUUUUAGCACAAUAUAUUUUUGUCUACAAUUUACUACUGCAUCAUGCUGGGUUAACCAAUCCAUGCCCAAUAUCACGUCAAAUUCAUCAAAUGGUAGUAACAUCAAAUCAGCCGGGAAACAAUAACCUCUUACCAUCAGUGGACAAUUUUUACAAAUUUUAUCUACAAAAACGGAUUGACCCAAGGGGUUCAAGACUUUAACCACAAAUUUAGUAGGUUCAACAGAUAAAUUUUUAACGAUUGCAAGUUUAACACAUAUAUAUGAAUGCGUAGAACCAGGAUCAAUUAAUGCAGUAAUAUUAGUUCCAAGUAAAGAAAAUGUACCAGUAAUAACAUCGGGUGCUGAGGCAUCUUAUCUGGCACGAAUGGCGUAUGUCCUAGCAGGUGCUCAUGCCUCAGACCUGCCUGCAAUAUCUUUCGUAGCUCCUCGGCUACCACUGACAUUACCAGUUGGUCGAGGUGGUCUGCCCCUCGAAACUAGAUUACUUAGCUUCGAUAACUACUCAGCUUCUUUUUCACCUCUUUCUGGACAAUUUUUGAGGAAAUGGUCAAAAGAACCACAUUGGUAACAAGCCCCGCUCUUUAAUCGACAUUCACCAAAAUGAGCUUUAUUACAGUACUGACAUCUCGGCUUAGGAGUGCCAACACUGCAAAUACUGGCCACUGAUAGAGUGGAAGGUCUUGGAUUAGUGCGUUGAGAACCUCGCUCUCUACCCGAAUACCCAGUGGCUGAGGUAGAACGAUCCUGGUACUUCUUCAAUUUCUUUGGAGCAGAAAAAUGGGAUUUUCCCAUCGGUCUUUUACUAAAAAUUCGAGCUUCUCUCUCAGCCUGUUUCUUUUCUUUGCUCAAUUCUUCUGCUUUAUAAGCUCUCUCUGCUAAUGUAGCAAACUCUCGAAUUUCAAGAAUUCCGAUCAGUAGGUUAAUGUCUUCAUUCAACCCUUAUUCGAAUCGUUUGCACAUUUCAGCUUCUGACUGUACCCAUUCUCGAGCAUAUUUACUCAAUCGAACAAAUUCUCUUUCAUACUCAGAUACUGAUCUGUUACCCUGUUUCAGCUCAAGAAAUUCUUUUCUCUUCUGAUCGAGAAACCUCUGGCUGAUAUAUUUCUUUCUGAACUCGGUCUGAAAGAAUUCCCAUGUAAUUUCUUCUUUCAGAACAACUGAAGCUUUAGUAUUCCACCAAUAGUAAGCUGUGUCCUUUGGCAGUAAGACGACACAUUUCAGACAUUCUUCUGGUGUACAAGAUAAUUCCACCAAAACCCGAGUAGUGUUUUUUAACCAGAAUUCAGCCCGUUCAGAAUCAUUGUCAACUGCUGCUUGAAAUUCUUCGGCCCCAUAUUUUCAAAUUUUAUCUACUAGAGCUUUCCCUUUUUUGACAGAUUCAGUACCUGUACCCUGUGGGAUCUUGGGAACCGGUGGAGGAGUAGGAGGGGGAGCUUGAACUUGCUGCACUACAGGGUUAGUUUUUAAGUAUUGACUAAACCAUUCAUUCAUCAUUUGAAAGAAUGCUGUUUUUGCCUCCUCCCCUCGACCCUCUGUCUCGGGCCUUCUACUGCUAGUUUCUUCUCUUUGUACUGAAGCCGGAGCAUGACUCCCAGCUUCCUCAGAUUGAGCUCGAUCGGUAGACAUUUACUAUAAGAAAAACACAUUUAAAUGGUCAGGAGAUAUCACACUAUCAAUAAUAAUUUAAAUGGCAUGUAUAGCUAAUCCCGUAUUUACUAUGUCAGUCCGAGAACUGGCUAAACCGUAGCUCUGAUACCAACAAAUAUAAUAACCCCUACCCGUAUUCAUGUCAGAAUAAGGUACGAGGUAUUACCGGAGUUUACGAUUUUUUUAUAUAUUCAAUAUAGCCCCUUUAUAAAUAUCUAACCUUGCCUACAAUAUUAAAUCGAGACCAAAAAUAAUCCACAUCAACCAAUCCAAUUCAACAUAUUUUCAAGAUAGGUUAACGCAUAUAUAUUCACGCAUAUUUAUAAGAUAACAUCAUCGCAUACCAAAACCAAGAUUUGUUAGCCAUACCAUUGGUUCACCUUACAUUCAUUUCACAGAAUCAUUUACUUUAUUAGCUUAUACAUGCCAUUGAUUUCCAAAAUAAAGUUUUUUUAUAUACCAAAAUCCUGAGGUUGAUAAUGUGAUGUGUCUCCGACCAAAUCCGACCUCCGAGCUCUUAACACUACAAAACAAGGGAAAAGGAAACAGGGUAAGCACUUUGUGCUUAGUAAGCUCAUGUAACAAGAAUUAUAUUUACCUAAUAUUUUCAGUACAAUACAAUAAACAUUCAUAUAUCCAUUCAAUGCAUUAUUACCCUAACAUGCACAAACUCAACAUUCAAGUUAGUACAAUAAUUUCCAUGUACCAAUAAUAUUUACUAUGAUUGAUGAGCUCAUCAAUACCAUGAUUUCCAUUUCCUUGUUAUUUUUCCAUAUUUAUCCCGUUGAAUUUAUCAGAAUUUUGAUGGAUUUUCAGAGGUACACUUUUAGUGUACAAUUUCGAGUCCGUCAAUUCAUAUUCAUGUGCGCACAUUUCCAUUUCAGAGAUCACACUCCCGCGAACCUCAACUUUGCAGCGGGAUUACUAGUCCAGGCUAAAUCCCCUGCAACGACAAUUACUCUAAUGAGCUUGGAUCUGAGUUACCAGUCCAGGCUAAAUUUAGACCCUAAUUUGGAUUACCCAUCCGGGCUAAAUCCAUUUUACACAUAUUCUUCGGGAGGGCUAUAUCAGGAUAGGAUCACCCGUCCGGGCUAGAUCCUUUUUACCGUCAAUUCCUUUUCAGAGAUUCAUCGAAUUUUCCUUUCAUUCAACCGGGAUUUCUUCCCAUUUUAUCAAAUAUAUCAAUGUUUUAUUAAUUUUCAUACAAUGAACAUUCAAUUCAUAUUCACAUCAAUAACAUACAAUCUCAAGCAUUUAAGAAUAUAAUUCAAGUUACACGAACUUACCUUAAUACUUGUUCGUGUCCAAAAAUCUACUAAUCCUAAACUUUUUUCUUUCCUCGAUCUAGCUUCGUAUUUGAAUCUUCUGGAUCUAAAUAAAUAAAUUUAAUUAUCAAUUGAAUACAUUUCAUGUUCAUAUGCAACAAUUUCUAUAAUUUUAUUAUUAUUAUUUAUAGUUUAUUCAAAGCUGUCUAUUUGAGUCAUAGUCACUAAAUUAUUUAUAACUCAAGCUACGUAACUCCAAAUUAAGAUCCGUUAAUUUUUCCUGAAACUAGCUAGACUUAUAUAUCUUCUUACCAUAAAAUUUUCAGAAUUUUUGGUGUAGCCAAUAAGUACAGUUUAUUCUUUAAAAUCACCCCUAUUCUACUGUUUGACGGUUUCGACCCUUCUUCACUAAAAAUUAAUUAUCUCACAGUACAGAACUCAGAUAAUAUUCCUGUUGAUUUAUCCUGAAAAUAGACUCAUUAGGGAUUCUAAACAUAUAAAUUUAAGCCUCUAAUUAUUUUUCUCUAAUUUUUGGUGAUUUUGCAAAGUCAGAACAGGGGAACCCGAAUUCAUUCUGACAUUGUCUAACAAAAUUCAUUAUAUCUCAUAAUUUACAAUUUAAUUACUUACACUGUUUCUUCUAUAAGAAACUCGACUCAAUAAGCUUUAAUUUCAUAUUUUUUUCAUCUUCUAAUUUUAUUUCUACAAUUUAUGGUGAUUUUUAAAAGUUAGUCUACUCCUGCUGUCCAAUAUUGUUUUAGUGCAAACUGUUUAUUACCAUUUUUUCCUUAAGCUUUUAAUAAAUAACAAUUUCAUCCCUACUCAAUUAGCCUCUCAAUUGAGCUGAUUUUUCUCAAUUAAUACUUUAUUCUAUCACCUUAAACUAGUUUACAACCUUUAAGAAUAAAAAAUUCAGCAAUAGACUCUAAUUCCAAAAAUUUUCACAAUUACGUCCUAAAAAUCAAUUUCUAUUGAACUUGCCUAAUAAAAUCAUCUCAUAAACAAAUUAAAGCUUUAAUUUCAUUCUAUUUCAUUAUAAACUUACAGCACUCAACCAUGGUGACUUUCAAUUUCAUCCAUGAAAUCAAAAAUUAAUGAAUUUAAUAGUAGGACCUAGUUGUAAAAGUCUUAGAAACACAAAAAUUACAAGAAAAAGGCAAGGAUUAACUCACUUGGUGCAAAAAUUAUGGAAUACCAGCUUAGAUAACCCUCCUAUGGCAUUUUUAGUUGCUGGAAUUGAAGAGAAAUGAAGAGAAAUCUAGAUAUUUCCUAUUUAGUCCUAGUUUUAUUUAGUUAAUUUUGCAAUAUUCCAAUUUUGCCCUUAAUUUAUCAAUUUUCCUGCUGAUUUCAUGCCCUUGCCGUCCAGCCCAAAUAAAUUUUGGGUCUAAUUCCUUUUCAAAUCCUCUCUCAUUAGACACUUAAGCUAUUUAAUCAUCCCAUCCACUUUUACAUCUUUUACAAUUUAGUCCUUUUCAUUUAAUUAACUAUCCAAACAUUAAAAUUUCCUAACGAAAUUUUAAUACCACAUUACUAACAUUUCAUAAAUAUUUAUAAAAUUAUUUUCGACUCGGUUUUACCAGAUAUAGGUCCCGAAACCUUAUUUUACUCAAUUUCUUCAAUAAUUUCUUUUUCUAACUAACCACUAAAUCGGUAAAAUUUUUCUAUCAAUAUUUUCAUACGAUUUUCCUAUCAUAUUAAUUUUCAUGCAAAAAUAUUGAAAUAAAUUUAUCUUUAAAUCGGAUUUGUGGUUAUGAAACCACUAUUCCGAUAACCUUGAAUUUAGGCCAUUACACCCUCUAACCCCAAACCGUCACCGGAACAGGGUUACGGAGCAUUACUGGACCUAUCGAACAAUUUACAAUUAAUUCAAAAUAAAUUACAUGCAUAUCUUGAUUUAAUUAUAAAGUCCCUAUAAUGGACCCUCGAGGUCCAAAUCACACGUUAGAAUCGAAUCCGGACUUGUUCAGAUACUUCAAAAUAUUUUUUUUUUGCGAACUCAAUAUAACCCCUUUUAUAAAUAUCUAACCUUCCUUACAAAUUCAAAUCGAGACCAAUCCAAACAAAUCAAUUCAUGAAUUUAUACAUCUCUAAUUAUAACAAACUAAUAAUAUAAAGUUCUAACAUUUUCAUGUUUAUAACAAUCUAACAUAAGAUGUCUAAUUGAUUCAUUUAAAUUAUCAUUCAACAAAAUUACCCAAAACUAUGAUAUAGACUAUGUUUAAGACAUAUGUAAUUGUAUGAAACAACCAUUACCAUCAUUUAUCAUUAAUAUUUAUGUAUCAAAAUAACUACAAAUUACAACCAAGGUACAUGCCAUUUUCAAAAGAGAAAAAUACAUCACCACGUAUUUGAGUUCGGGAUUGACUUGGAUGCUCAAUCGUUAGUCACUUUUGUACUUAACCUGCGCAUGGAAACAAACCGUACGCUGAGUAUGCACUCAGUGGUAUUUCUAUAAACCAACACUUAAAUAAUUAUAAAAUACAUAUAUAACACUACUCAAAUUCAAUAACUAUUCAAAUAUUCACCUUUCAAUCUAGUACUCUAUUUUAUUUCAAACUCAGUAUCAGUCAUUAUUUUUCAAUAACAAUUAUUUGUUUAUUUUUAUUCAAUAAUAAUCAGUUAUUCAGUAUCAAACAAUCAAUAACAAUCAGUUAUUUAGUACAGUAAUUUAGUCAUUCAGUAAGUAUCAAAUAUUCAGUGCAGUAGUUUAGUUAUUCAAUAACUAUCAAUUAUUUAAUACAGUAAUUUAGUUAUUCAGUAACUAUCAAUUAUUCAGUACAGUAGUUUACCCCUAUUAACAUAACUCGAACCUAGACGAAUACACAGAUCCAACCAACACAUCAGUACGGCACAUUGUGCCUCAUCGACUUUGCCGAAUUAAACUGUAACAGUACGGUACUUAGUACCUCAUCCAAUUAAACCGAAGUAACUAUAACAGUACGACAUACAAUGUGCCUCAUCAACUUGAAGUCGAAGUAACAGUACGACACUUAUAGUGCCUCAUCGACUCAAGGUCGAAGUAUCCCUGAACACUUCAAAUCCUAUGGCAUGCCAAUUAUAUCCGACCCAAUCCGAUACAGUUAAUAAAGGUAUUCAAUUCAUUUCUCAAUUCACAAUAAUUAAUUAUUUCAAUAUCCAUUUCACAAUAAUCACAAAUUCACAUACACUCAAUUCAAUAUCAAAACACUAAUACUUACCUUAAUAUCUUUCCAUACACAUAUAAUAAUAAAAAACAACAAUUUAAAUGUUAAGUUCAGUUUAUAGAAAUAUAAACCGUAAUUCUCGAAUUACUCUUCAUCAACUUUCUCCUUUCCUUUCUUUGUCGAGGUAUCCGGUAUUACGUUAGCUACGGAAAUUAAAAUAAUUAUACCAUUAAUUAUAGCAUUAAUUUAUAAUAAUAAUUGAAUUUCUAUCCAAUUUAUAUUUUAGUUCAGACUCUAUUUCUAUUCAAAUUUCAUUCAAACUCAAAUUUAACUACUAAAUUUUCAACAUAUUUCACUAAUUUUGAAUUUUCCUCAAUUUAGUCCCUACAACAUAAAACUUAUAGCUUACUUCGCAAUUUAAUCCCUUUAUUAAUUCUAACUUGAAAUUCUUUCAAUUAAAUCCCUAAUUCAUCUUUUUGCCCAACAUAAAUUAUACUUGAAAACCUAUAAGCUUCUAAACUAUCAACUUAAUUUUAUCAAAACCUUGUUUUAAGACUUCUAAAAUAUCAAAAUUAAGAGAAAAUGACUUAAUUAAGCUUACCAAUUAAACUCCAAGCUUCAAAUUCCCUAUUUUCCCUUUUUCUUUCUUUUUCUUCUUUCUCUCUCCUUACUCUGCUCUAUUGCGAAAGCUUCUCUGUUCUUUUACCCUUUCCUUUCUUUUGUCUUUCUUUUUAUUCUUUUAUUAUUUCAUUUGUUUUAUUUAUUUUAUUAACUUAAUAUAUUAUAAUUUAAUUAUUAUAAAUAUCUAUCAUAUAAUUAAUAAUAUAAUACAAACGUAUACAUUUACUUUUCUACAUUUGUACAUGAUUAAUACCAUACAUUUAUCAUAAUUUUAUCUAAUUAUUUCAUAAAAAUCUUAUAAAUAAUUAUUUAAUUAAUAACUAUCUUUUUAAUUUAAUAAAAAUAAUAAAUAUCUUUGAUAUUAAGUAAAUACAUAUAUAAAUUACAAAUGUAUAUAUUUUAUUUAGUACACUUGGAUUCAUUAUCACCUUACACUUGUCACCAUUUAAUUUAUUUGUCAUAUAAAAAAUCUUAUAAUAUUAUAUAAUUAUAAUAAAUAUUUAUUUAAAUAAUUAUAAAUAAUAAUAAAUAUUUAUUUACUUUAAUAAAAAGUAAUUAAAUAAAUAUGUUACAAUUGUAUAUAUAUUAUUAUUACAUUUAUAUAUUUUAUUACCAUACAUUUAGCUUUAAUUUAUAUAUAUUUCAUUAAUUUAAUAAGAUAAUAUCAAUUAAAUAAUAAUUUAUACUAUUAUAUUCUAAUAUUAAUUAAUAAUAACUUAAACCAUUAAAAAUCUUUAGAUUUUUCUCAUUGUUUUGCCGCCUCAACUAUUACUUAAUGGCAUAUUUGCCAUUUUGGUCUUUUAUAUUUUCUUUUAAUCUAUAAUUCAAUUUUUACCCCUUAUUCAAUCUAGUAUUUCUUCCUAUUUUCUCUUAAUUAAGCUAAAUCACCUAAUUAAAACUAAUUAAACACACCACUAAACUCAUAAAUAUUUUUAAUAAUUAUUUACAAACCCAUUUUGUUAAGACGGAGGCCCGAUAAUGUACUUUCCCGAUGCCUAAUCAUUACAGAAAAUAACCAAAUUAAAGUACAAGUAUUAAAUUCAUAAUUUAUGUAAAGUAUAGGGUCCACUAGCAGAAUUUGACCUAAAUUAUAAUAUUUCCUUUAGAAGGGUUUGUUUGACCUAAAAUUAAGUACUGAAAUUUUAUUACUAAAUUUUAUAAGUGUUGAAUAUAUAUUUAAAAAUAUUUAUAAAUUAGUAAAUAUGUUAAUUUAAAUAUUUCAAUUUUUAAAAUAGUAAUUUGUUUUUUUUAAAUCAACUCAAUAUUUUCUACAUUAAAUGAUAAGUACCUACCUACCUACUUAUUUCGGCUUUUUUAGAUAAAUAAUCCAAAAAUAUUAAAAAUUUAUGAAAAUGACCCUAGUACUAGAUUAUUUAGAAAAAUGACCUAGUUUCUACAAUGUCAAUGGGUGCAACCACUUCUCAUGGCAACACACACCAAAAUGUAACGGAAUCAUUGCCUCACAAUUAAAAAAAUCAUAAGAUGAAAAAAAAUCUUUUUUUUAGUACCGCCACUUCUCAAAGCGACAACCGUAUAAAUUUUCACCCUAUUGUAUUUUUCAUGCAUAUUUCACGAAGUAAAUGAAAAAUAUAUAUAUUAUUGAUUUUUGGUGCUGCAUCCUUUAAUGAAGGCACUAAAUUGAAUAAUUCUCUUUUUUUUUUUACAUUCUUUUAAGUGGGGGCACCAAAUUGGAUUAAAAUAAAUAUUUGUUGGUGUUGCCUCCUUCAUCGGAGUCACUAAUAUUAGUAAUUUUUUUAUCUCUGGUGACUACUCUAGAUGUGACGGUACCAAUAUUUUCUUUUUGGAAUUUUUUUGUGUUGCCACUUCACAUGGAAUCUCCAAAAAUAGUGGCAACGCCAAAAAAUUUCAAAAAAAAUUCUACUACUGCCACAUCUCGAGUAGUCAUCAAAGAGAUUUUUUUUUUUACUGUUAUUGGUGGCUUCAUUGAAGGAGGCGACACCAACCAAAGCUUGGAACCAGAAAAGAAAAUUUUAUUCAAUUUGAUGUGUAAUGACCUGAAAUUCACGAGCACCGAAAAAGUGAGUUAUAGGGCCUCCGUCUUAGUGAAAUAAGUUCGAAAAUAAUUAUUAAAAAUAUUUAUGAGCCUAGUGGUGUGUCUAAUUAGGAUCUAAUUAAGUGAAUUUAGCUUAAUUUAGAGUAAGUAAUAAAAAGAAUUAAAUUGAAUAAAGGGUAAAAGUUUAAUUAUAAAGCAAUAGAAAAUAAAAAGGAUUAAAAUGGCAAUCAAGCCAUUGACUACAAAUGAGGUGGCAUAUUGGUGAAAUAAAAUCAAAGAUUUUUUUUAGGUUUUAUAUAUUAUAAUGAUUAUUAUUAUGGUUUUAUAUUAAAUUGUUAUGAUUAUUUAAUUGAUAAUAUAUUAUAAAUAAAUUAAAUAGAAGACAAUUGUAUGUUAAUAAAAUACACAUGUGUAAGAAUUGUAUGGGUACAUUUGUAAUUUAAAUAUUUAAUUACUUAUAAUUUAAGUAUAAAAAUAUUUUAUAAUUAUUAAUUGUGUUAAUUAAAUCAUGAGAUUUUUAUUUAAUAAGCAAAUUAGAUAAUGACAUUUGUAAUAAUAUAAAUAUGUACACUUGUUAUAUAAUUAUUAAUUUACUUAAUAUUAAAGUAAAAGAUAUUUUAAUAUAUUGUAUUAAUAUUAUAUUAUGUUAAUAAAAUAAUAAAGUAUAAAAGAAUUAAAGAAAUAAAGAAACAAAAGGAAAUAGAAACAGAGUUGAAAACGGGAAGCAGGGGAGAAAAAGAGAAAGAAAAAGGGAAACAAAAAUAAAAGAGAAAACUAAGGAUUUGAAGCUUGGAGUUAAUUUGGUAAGUCAAUUAAGUCCUUUUUAGUUAAUUUUGAUGUUUUAGGAGCUUUGAAACAAGAUUUUGAUGAAAUUAAGUUGAUAGUUCAAGAGUUCAUAUGUUUCCAAGUAGGGUUCAUGUUGGAAAAAUUAUGGAAUUAGGGAUUUAAUUGAAUGAAUUCUAAGUUAGAAUUGAAUAAGUGAUUAAAUUGUAAACUAGGCUAUAAGUUUUAUGUUGUAGGGACUAAAUUGAAGAAAUUUCGAAAUUAGGGAAAUAUACUGGAAAUUUUAUAGUUAAAUAUAAGUUUAGACAAAAUUUGAAUAGAAAAAGAGAGUGAAUUGGAUUAAGAAAAUAAUUAAGUUUAGUUAGGAUUAAAUUGGGAAUAAGGUAGGAGUUGUUUAGAAAUUUAAUUAUUUAUUAUAAUUAAUGCUGUAAAUAAUAAUGUAAAUUACUAUUAUUUCGUAGCCAACAAAGAACCGGAAGCAUCAGCAUCGAAAGGAAAGGAGAAAGUCAUCGAGGACUAAAACGGGAGAAUUACGGUGUGUAUUACUAUAAUUCAAAUUUUAAUUAUUAUUGAUUGCUGAAAUUUUAAUUGUUAUGUAUGGUAAAUAAGACUUGAGGUAAGUAUGUGAAAUCGAUAUGAAUAUUGAGUGAAAAUGAAAGUGAUAUAAAUUGAAUCAAAUUGAAUUGAAUAAGUGAAUUAUGGAAUAUGUGAUUAUUUGAAAAGUGUAUUGAUUGAAAAUAGAUAAAUUGUGACAAAUGUAUGGUGUUGAUGGUAUACACUUGUGUGAAAAUUAAUUUGUAUAUGAAUUAAGAUAAUAGAUAUUUGAAUUGAAUGAGUAUUGAAUAAUUUUUGUGUAAAUGAAAUUGAAAUUAGAAAAAAAAGUAAAAUAAUACCCUAUUAACUUGUCGGACUAGAUUCGAUACAAAUGGCAUGCCAUUGGAUUUGUGAUGUGAUGAAGAGAUUGUAGUUCAGUCGAGAAGAUGUUUCUAUCAUUAUAUACUUCGGUUUAUCCGAAUAGGCAUUUAAUGCCUUAUUGGUGUGUUUGGGAGGAUAUAUUAUACCGGUGUGUUAUGGAGGAUUUACAAUAUUUCAGGUGUGUUUGGGUUGGACAUUCUAGUGUGUUUGGAUGGAAUCCGCGUAUCUGUCAUAGUCCGAGCUUUGUUAAUAGGGUAAAUAAUUGAAAUGAAAUUUUGAAAAUGAGAUUAUUUGUUUUAGCACUAUUGAAAAGUACGAGAAAGAAUGUAUGAACUAAAUUAUGAAUUGAGUUAAUAUGAGAAAAAUAAAUUAUGAAUUUAAGAUUUAUGAAGUAAAAUAAUUAUAUAUAAAAGUAGUUUAAAUAAUUAUAAAAUUUAUGGUUGAUGUUUGUAAUUUAUUAAUGUUAAAUAGUCUUGAUUUAUAGUAAUACCACUGAGUAUAUCCAUACUCAGUGUACGGUUGCUUCCGUGCGCAGGUUAGUAGAAGUCAAGUGUCCUGGCUCAGCAUCUAGAACAAUCCCGACUCCAAUACAAAUUUGGUGAUGCAUAUUUUUCUUUUGGGUAAAGGUGGCAUGUACAUAGGUGUUGUUUAGUCACUUGAAUAUGUAUAUUACUUUGGGUAGUGAAGGAUGAAUUAUAAAAUUUAGAUGGUUAAAUGAAAUGGUAAGGAAAGUACAUGAUGUUUUGAUACAUGAACAUUAAGUUGUUAAAUGAAUGAAGUUUUUAAUCAAUUUUGAAUGAUGCUAUGAUAAUUAUUAAGUUAAAAUUUUGUUAAUGAUAUAAAUAUUAGUUAUAUGAAUGUGAAAUAUUGGUGUUGGUUGUUUUGGUUUGAAUUUGCAGGAGGUUUAGGUAAAAAUAAGCAGAAAUGCUGCCGAAAUUUUUAUAAAAAAAAAUUUGGAAUACUCGAAUAAGUCCUGUUCUACUUUUAAUACGUGUUUGAACUUCGAGAGUUCAAGAUAGGGACUUAAUUAUUAUAUUAUACUAUGAAAGUUAUAUUAAUUGUAAAUUAUUCGUAAGUUGUCUGAUAUGUCCGGUAAUGCCUCAUAACCUCGUUCCGGUAACGGUUUGGGGUUAGGGGGUGUUACAAUUGUUGGUAUCAGAGCUAUUAGGUUUAGCUGAUUCUCGGGCUAAAUUAGGCUCGGAAGUGAGUUUAGAAGUACAUGCCACUGUCGAGUCGAAAUUGAGUCGGGAUUUUUGGAUGCUAAUGUAUUUAUUUGAUUUUGUUUUAUAGAUAAAAUGUCAGAUGAAAGAAUGGAUAAUGUUGAACAGGAAAUGUAUACUGGAAGUCGAGAAUUAGAAGAAACUGAAUCUGUUACACCUAGUGUGAAUCCGUUCAAUAAUCAAUCUCCUAAUGUAGGGAGAGAAAGAAAUACCUCACAAGUGUUAAGAGAUAUAGCUGAUGAAUUACAGCAUAUAGUGAGAACUAUACCUGCUACUACAUCUGUACCUACUGUCAGGCAGGCCCCGAUUAAAGAGCUACGAAAAUAUGGUGCCACGGAAUUUCAGGGAUUAAAAGGAGCUGAUCCAUCCGUUGCUGAAAAUUGGAUAGAAACAACAAAAAGAGUUUUGCAACAAUUAGACUGCACCCCCCGAGAAAGUCUGAUAUGUGCUGUAUCACUGUUACAAGGAGAAGCGUAUCUCUGGUGGGAAUCUAUGGUUAGACAUUUGCCGGAUGAUCAGGUAACUUGGGACUUGUUUCGAAAAGAAUUUCAGAAGAAGUAUAUUAGGGAAUUGUACAUCGAAGAGAAAAAACAAGAGUUUUUAGUGUUGAAACAGGGGAAUAUGUCAGUACUGGAUUAUAAGCGAGAGUUCUCUAGAUUGAGCAGGUAUGCUUUAGAAUAUGUUCCAACCGAGGCUGAUAGUUGUAAACGAUUUCUAUGGGGACUACGAGAUGAAAUCAAGAUUCAAUUGGUAAGUCUCAGAAUUACUGAACUUGUUGAUCUGGUUGAGCGAGCAAAAAUGAUAGAACAAGUACUGGGUCUGGAUAAAAAAUCAGAAAUUGGUAAAUCAGCUGGGAAACGUAUGGGAACUACUAGUUCUAAUCUAUUACCGAAGAGAUUCAGAGAAUCAAGAAGUGACUGGAGAUCCAGUUUUAGUUCAGAUAGAGGUGGUAGAAGCAGAGGUAAACAGAUGACAAUAUCUACUAGUAGUGUGAGAGGUCCAUCCCGAAGUAUAGAAAUUCCAGACUGUGAGCAUUGCGGAAAGAAACAUUUAGGUGAAUGUUGGAGGAUAACUCGACGAUGUUUUCGAUGUGGGGCCACAGAUCAUUUCAUUCGAGAUUGUCCGAAAGGUGAAAGUGCCACACCUGCAACAUCUCAAAGAUCAGUACCUACUGUUCGUGGCAGAGGAUCUAGUAGGGGUGGUUCAGGUUCUGUGUCUAGAGGUAGAGGUGUCAGAAGAAACAGCGAUAUAGUUACACAACAGUCAGAGGCCAGAGCGCCGGCCAGAGCGUACGUAGUCCGGACCCGUGAGGAAGGCAAUGCACAUGAUGUUGUUACAGGUAUAUUUCUAUUGUAUUCUGAGCCUAUUUAUGCUUUAAUUGAUCCGGGUUCGUCACACUCAUAUAUAAAUUCAAAACUAGUCAAAUCGGGGAAAUUAGAAUCUGAAAUGUCUGAAGUUUCUAUAGAAGUGUCUAGCCCUUUGGGACAAACGGUGUUAGUAGAUAGAGUAUGUCGGAGGUGCCCGUUAAUAAUACAUGAUAAAAUGUUUCUUGUGGACUUGUUGAUCAUGCCUUUUGGUGAUUUUGAUAUCAUUUUGGGUAUGGACUGGUUAUAUGAACAUGGGGUAGUUUUGGAUUGCUAUAAAAAGAGGUUUAGUAUUCAGACAGAAAAUGGGAAUAGAAUUGAAGUGAAUGGCAUCCGUACCAGUGGUUCGACACGUAUUAUUUCAGCGAUGAAGGUUAAUAAAUUACUGUAGCAGGGUUGUCCAGCAUACUUGGCAUAUGUUAUUAAUUCUGAUUCAGUUGGGAGUCAGUGCAGUCAGAUUAGGACUGUACGUGAGUUUCCAGAUGUAUUCCCAGAAGAAUUACCGGGCUUACCACCUGACAGAGAGGUUGAAUUUGCUAUUGAGGUGUAUCCAGGUACAACACCAAUUUCUAUACCUCCGUAUCAAAUGUCGCCCACUGAGUUGAAAGAGUUGAAGGUGCAGUUACAAGAUUUACUAGAUCGUGGAUUUAUUAGACCAAGCAUUUCACCCUGGGGAGCUCCAGUAUUGUUUGUUAAAAAGAAAGAUGGCUCUAUGCGACUUUGUAUUGAUUACCGACAGUUGAACAAGGUAACAAUUAAAAAUAAGUACCCGUUGCCUUGCAUUGAUGAUUUAUUUGAUCAGUUGAGAGGAGCUUCUGUGUUUUCGAAGAUUGACUUAAGGUCGGGUUACUAUCAGUUGAAGGUAAAAGAAAGUGAUGUACCGAAAACAGUUUUUCGUACAAGGUAUGGCCAUUAUGAGUUCUUGGUAAUGCCAUUUGGGUUAACAAAUGCCCCAGCUGCUUUUAUGGAUCUCAUGAAUCGUAUCUUUCAGCCGUAUUUAGAUCAGUUUGUGGUGGUUUUCAUUGAUGAUAUAUUGGUAUAUUCGAAGACAGAGGCAGAACAUGAUCAGCAUCUUCGAAUAGUUCUACAAAUUUUACGAGAGAAAUAGUUAUAUGGAAAGCUUAGUAAAUGCGAGUUCUGGUUAUCAGAAGUGGUAUUUCUGGGACAUGUAAUAUCUGCAGAUGGAAUUCAAGUUGAUCCGAAAAAGAUCGAAGCAAUUGUUCAGUGGAAGGCACCAAAGAAUGUAUCGAGGUACGCAAUUUUCUCGGUUUAGCUGGGUAUUACAGGAGGUUUGUAAAUGGAUUCUCGAAGAUAGCACUACCAAUGACUAAACUACUGCAGAAGAAUGUUCCUUUUAUUUGGGAUGAUCAGUGUCAGAAAAGUUUUGAAACAUUGAAGCGAAUGUUAACCGAGGCACCAGUUUUGACAUUGCCAGAAUCGGGUAAAGAUUUUGUAGUGUAUAGUGAUGCUUCUUUGAGUGGUUUGGGUUGUGUAUUGAUGCAGGAUGGGAAGGUAAUAGCCUAUGCAUCUCGUCAAUUGAAACCAUAUGAAAGGAAUUAUCCCACUCAUGAUCUUGAGUUAGCAGCUGUGAUUUUUGCAUUGAAGAUUUGGAGACAUUAUCUUUAUGGUGAAAAAUGCUACAUCUAUACUGAUCAUAAGAGUUUGAAGUAUCUUCUUUCUCAGAAGGAAUUGAAUUUGAGACAAAGGCGUUGGAUCGAGCUUCUGAAAGAUUAUGAUUGUGUUAUAGACUAUUAUCCGGGAAAAGCUAACGUUGUAGCUGAUGCAUUAAGCAGAAAAGCUGUAAUUGAAUUAAGAGCAAUGUUUGCACGGCUUAGUAUCACUGAUGAUGGGAGUCUUUUGGCCGAAUUAAGAGUAAAACCGGUAAUGUUUGAUCAGAUUAGAUCAGCCCAGUUGGAAGAUGACAAAUUAUUGAAGAAAAGAGAGAUGGUACAGAAUGGCAUAGCAGAAAAUUUUAGUAUUGAUGAUUGUGGAUGCUUAAGGUUUCGAAAUCGGAUUUGUAUUCCAAAUACUUCUGAGCUCAAAGAGUUAAUUCUACGUGAAGCUCAUGAUAGUUCGUUUGCUAUGCACCCCGGAGGCACGAAAAUGUAUCGAGAUUUAAGAGAAUUAUACUGGUGGCCAGGGAUGAAAAGAGACAUAGUAGAAUUUGUAAGUAAAUGUCUGACUUGCCAACGGGUAAAGGCAGAACAUCAGGUUCCUGCUGGAUUGCUUCAGCCUAUUAAUAUUCCUGAAUGGAAAUGGGAUCGCAUCACGAUGAAUUUUAUUACGGGAUUACCGUUGUCAUCAAGCAAAAAGAAUGCUAUUUGGGUGAUAGUUGAUAGACUUACCAAGUCAGCACAUUUUAUAGCAGUCAGGACUGAUUGGCCGUUGCAGAAGCUUGCAGAUGUGUAUAUUCGAGAAAUUGUUAGACUACGUGGCAUUCCGAUAUCAAUAAUUUCAGAUCGAGAUCCUCGGUUCACAUCGAGAUUUUGGAGACAGUUACAUGAGUCGUUGGGUACUAGACUUAGUUUCAGUACAGCUUUUCAUCCCCAAACUGACGGACAGUCCGAACGGGUAAUUCAGGUACUAGAAGAUAUGCUUCGAACUUGUAUUAUUGAGUUUGAAGCAGGUUGGGAGCGAUAUUUGCCACUAGCUGAGUUUGUCUAUAAUAAUAGUUUCCAAUCUAGUAUUCAGAUGGCUCCGUAUGAAGCGUUAUAUGGUCGAAAAUGUAGAUCACCAGUAUGUUGGACUGAAUUGAAUGAAAGAAAAGUAAUUGGGCCGGAAUUGAUUCGUGAAACAGAAGAAACAGUCAAGAAGAUUCAACAUAGAUUAAAAGCAGCUUUUGACAGACAAAAAUCUUAUGCUGAUUUGAAACGUCGGGACAUUGAAUAUUCAGUUGGAGACAAAGUAUUUCUUAAGAUUUCUCCUUGGAAAAAAGUUUUGAGAUUUGGUCGGAAAGGUAAAUUGACCCCACGUUUUAUUGGGCCGUAUGAAAUAGUGGAAAGAAUUGGACCAGUUGCAUAUCGAUUGGCUUUACCUUCUGAAUUACAAAGGAUUCAUGAUGUUUUUCAUGUUUCGAUGCUACGAAAAUAUAGAUCAGAUCCUUCUCAUAUAAUUUCUACAGAAGAUAUUGAAGUUCGACCUGAUCUAUCAUAUGAAGAAGAGCCGGUUCAAAUUUUAGCACGAGAAAUGAAAGAAUUAAGAAAUAAAGAGGUUCCUUUAGUGAAAGUCCUAUGGAGAAAUCAUAAUGUUGAAGAAGCGACUUGGGAACCAGAGGAAACUAUGAGAGUACAAUAUCCUCAUCUCUUAUCAGGUAAAUUUCGAGGACGAAAUUUAUUAAGGGGGGAGAAAUGUAAUGACCUGAAAUUCACGGGCACCGAAAAAGUGAGUUAUAGGGCCUCCGUCUUAGUGAAAUAAGUUCGAAAAUAAUUAUUAAAAAUAUUUAUGAGCCUAGUGGUGUGUCUAAUUAGGAUCUAAUUAAGUGAAUUUAGCUUAAUUUAGAGUAAGUAAUAAAAAGGAUUAAAUUGAAUAAAGGGUAAAAGUUUAAUUAUAAAGCAAUAGAAAAUAAAAAGGAUUAAAAUGGCAAUUAAGCCAUUGACUACAAAUGAGGUGGCAUAUUGGUGAAAUAAAAUCAAAGAUUUUUUUUAGAUUUUAUAUAUUAUAAUGAUUAUUAUUAUGGUUUUAUAUUAAAUUGUUAUGAUUAUUUAAUUGAUAAUAUAUUAUAAAUAAAUUAAAUAGAAGACAAUUGUAUGGUAAUAAAAUACACAUGUGUAAGAAUUGUAUGGGUACAUUUGUAAUUUAAAUAUUUAAUUACUUAUAAUUUAAGUAUAAAAAUAUUUUAUAAUUAUUAAUUGUAUUAAUUAAAUCAUGAGAUUUUUAUUUAAUAAGAAAAUUAGAUAAUGACAUUUGUAAUAAUAUAAAUAUGUACACUUGUUUUAUAAUUAUUAAUUUACUUAAUAUUAAAGUAAAAGAUAUUUUAAUAUAUUAUAUUAAUAUUAUAUUAUGUUAAUAAAAUAAUAAAGUAUAAAAGAAUUAAAGAAAUAAAGAAACAAAAGGAAAUAGAAACAGAGUUGAAAACGGGAAGCAGGGGAGAAAAAGAGAAAGAAAAAGGGAAAGAAAAAUAAAAGAGAAAACUAAGGAUUUGAAGCUUGGAGUUAAUUUGGUAAGUCAAUUAAGUCAUUUUUAGUUAAUUUUGAUGUUUUAGGAGCUUUGAAACAAGAUUUUGAUGAAAUUAAGUUGAUAGUUCAAGAGUUCAUAUGUUUCCAAGUAGGGUUCAUGUUGGAAAAAUUAUGGAAUUAGGGAUUUAAUUGAAUGAAUUCUAAGUUAGAAUUGAUUAAGGGAUUAAAUUGUAAACUAGGCUAUAAGUUUUAUGUUGUAGGGACUAAAUUGAAGAAAUUUCGAAAUUAGGGAAAUAUGCUGGAAAUUUUAUAGUUAAAUAUAAGUUUAGACAAAAUUUGAAUAGAAAAAGAGAGUGAAUUGGAUUAAGAAAAUAAUUAAGUUUAGUUAGGAUUAAAUUGGGAAUAAGGUAGGAGUUGUUUAGAAAUUUAAUUAUUUAUUAUAAUUAAUGCUGUAAAUAAUAAUGUAAAUUACUAUUAUUUUCGUAGCCAACAAAGAGCCGGAAGCAUCAGCAUCGAAAGGAAAGGAGAAAGUCAUCGAGGACUAAAACGGGAGAAUUACGGUGUGUAUUACUAUAAUUCAAAUUUUAAUUAUUAUUGAUUGCUGAAAUUUUAAUUGUUAUGUAUGGUAAAUAAGACUUGAGGUAAGUAUAUGAAAUCGAUAUGAAUAUUGAGUGAAAAUGAAAGUGAUAUAAAUUGAAUCAAAUUGAAUUGAAUAAGUGAAUUAUGGAAUAUGUGAUUAUUUGAAAAGUGUAUUGAUUGAAAAUAAAUAAAUUGUGACAAAUGUAUGGUGUUGAUGGUAUAAACUUGUGUGAAAAUUAAUUUGUAUAUGAAUUAAGAUAAUAGAUAUUUGAAUUGAAUGAGUAUUGAAUAAUUUUUGUGUAAAUGAAAUUGAAAUUAGAAAAAAAAGUAAAAUAAUACCCUAUUAACUUGUCGGACUAGAUUCGAUACAAAUGGCAUGCCAUUGGAUUUGUGAUGUGAUGAAGAGAUUGUAGUUCGGUCGAGAAGAUGUUUCUAUCAUUAUAUACUUCGGUUUAUCCGAAUAGGCAUUUAAUGCCUUAUUGGUGUGUUUGGGAGGAUAUAUUAUACUGGUGUGUUAUGGAGGAUUUACAAUAUUCCGGGUGUGUUUGGGUUGGACAUUCUGGUGUGUUUGGAUGGAAUCCGCGUAUCUGUCAUAGUCCGAGCUUUGUUAAUAGGGUAAAUAAUUGAAAUGAAAUUUUGAAAAUGAGAUUAUUUGUUUUAGCACUAUUGAAAAGUAUGAGAAAGAAUGUAUGAACUAAAUUAUGAAUUGAGUUAAUAUGAGAAAAAUAAAUUAUGAAUUUAAGAUUUAUGAAGUAAAAUAAUUAUAUAUAAAAGUAGUUUAAAUAAUUAUAAAAUUUAUGGUUGAUGCUUGUAAUUUAUUAAUGUUAAAUAGUCUUGAUUUAUAGUAAUACCACUGAGUAUAUCCAUACUCAGCAUACGGUUGCUUCCAUCCGCAGGUUAGUAGAAGUCAAGUGUCCUGGCUCAGCAUCUAGAACAAUCCCGACUCCAAUACAAAUUUGGUGAUGCAUAUUUUUCUUUUGGGUAAAGGUGGCAUAUACAUAGGUGUUGUUUAGUCACUUGAAUAUGUAUAUUACUUUGGCUAGUGAAGGAUGAAUUAUAAAAUUUAGAUGGUUAAAUGAAAUGGUAAGGAAAGUACAUGAUGUUUUGAUACAUGAACAUUAAGUUGUUAAAUGAAUGAAGUUUUUAAUCAAUUUUGAAUGAUGCUAUGAUAAUUAUUAAGUUAAAAUUUUGUUAAUGAUAUAAAUAUUAGUUAUAUGAAUGUGAAAUAUUGGUGUUGGUUGUUUUGGUUUGAAUUUGCAGGAGGUUUAGGUAAAAAUAAGCAGAAAUGCUGCCGAAAUUUUUAUAAAAAAAAAAUUUGGAAUACUCGAACAAGUCCCGUUCUACUUUUAAUACGUGUUUGAACUUCGAGAGUUCAAGAUAGGGACUUAAUUAUUAUAUUAUACUAUGAAAGUUAUAUUAAUUGUAAAUUAUUCGUAAGUUGUCUGAUAUGUCCGGUAAUGCCUAAUAACCUCGUUCUGGUAACGGUUUGGGGUUAGGGGGUGUUACAUGAUGCCUCCAUUAAAGAAGGUGGCACCAAAAAUCAAUAUAUAUAUAUAUAUAUCUUUCAUUUACCUCUAGAAAUAUGAGUGAAAAUAUGGUGGGGUGAAAAUCUAUACGGGUGUCGUCUUAGGAAGUGGCGGCAUCCAUUGACACUAUAGAAAUUAGGUCAUUUUUUAAACAAUCUGAUACUAAAAUUAUUUGCAUACUUUUUUUAAUAUUUUUAGAUUAUUUAUCUAAAAAGCCAUAACACUUUUUUUAUUAAAAAAUUUAAAAUAAUUAUCAAACUUGUUUAAAAUAUUAAAUGUUGAAAAUAAAAAUUUCCAAUCAUUUACUAAAUACAUCCUAAAAAAAAAAUUAAAUGUAUUAUUUUAAUUAAAAGUUGAUUUUUUAUUUGGGUUGCUUUAGAAGAAAAACCUGCAAAUAAUCGACUAAACUGCUUUAAAAAAAAAAGAGUUUUCUUCAAAAUCAAUUAAAUGGAAAUAUUUUUUUUAUUUGUUAUUUAUAAGAUCAAUCAUUUCAUUACAGUAUAUUUUAUUUAUAUUUCAUUUUAAUGAAAUUAAAAUUUUAAAUUAAAUAAAUAUUAUUUAAAAAAUAUCUUAAUUAAAUUAGUAUUAAUAUUAUUAUUAGUCAUGGAUUAGAAUGAGCAAGCGGUGGUACUAAACAUUUUAUGAAAAACAAUAGAAAUUAAAAAAAAAAUUUGAAAAGCGACGAAAGGUGCCGUUGUUGGCGAAUCUGACCAACUUCAAAAAUCAAAACACAUAGUAUUCCAUAUUGACACAUGUCUAUUUAAUCUCAUGCAUGCAAAACUUGUCCUCGUCUUCUCCCUUCUUAACUUUUUCCUUUCUCUUUGUAUCUCUUGUUGUCUCUUAGCUUGCACUAGUUCUUUAAAAAGAAAAGGAAGAAAAAAAAGGUGCUUGGGAGUGAGAAUCAUUGAAGGAAAAUGUGUGGGAUUUUAGCAGUUUUGGGUUGCUCUGAUGAUUCUCAGACUAAAAGGGCUCGAGUGCUGGAGCUUUCCCGCAGGUAAACAAUCUCUAGUUCUUACCACAUUUUCUUUUCCAUUUUGGGGUCUAUUCUCUUAGCCUAUUUUAAUGUUUGCCUUUAAAAUGGUUGAAUAAUCAUUUUCCAAACAGGUUUAAAUUAUGAUAAUUUUUUGUUAUUGCUUGCAAAGGCAAGGAGAAGAAAAAAAACAGGAAUAGUAAUUUAAAGAUAGAUCAUCUCCAAACUUGGAGGAGAACCCAUGCUAUGUGGAGUCUUGAAAACAGAGGACAAAGGAACUUCGAGGAGCCCAUGCUUUAACAUUCUAAAUCAAUCAUAUACAUAUGAAAAUGGAAAAGGAUUAUAUUAAACCGAGAACACACGUGAUCUUGUAUCUUUUACCGAUUGUUCAAUGUUAUACUAACAUUUUUUCUUCAUAGUAUUGAUACAUCAUUUUGGUAAUUCUUUUAAUUUGGAGUUUAGAUUCUGGACUCCAAACCAUAAAUCCUGAACCCUUGAUCCCAUAUUUUGAAUCCUAAACCUUAGAUCAUGGACCUUAAAUUUUGGACUUUAAAUACUGAACCUUAACUUUAAACUUUGAAUCUUGAAUCAUGAACCCUGAACCCUUUGAGGUUCAAGGUUUAGGAUUGAGAGUUUAGAUUACAAAAUUAUCAAAAUGACAUGUCAAUAACAUGAAAAAAAUAUUAAAAUAAAAUUAAAUAAUUAAUAAAAAAUACAAAAUGAUGUAAGGUCCCUAUUUUAUGCAAUUCUUUCUCAUAAAAAUGAGAAAAAUAAUUUCCUUUAAAUUUAACAUUCGCGGUGCUUAGUUACUGGUAUCAACGUCGGCUAUCGGCCGAAAUUUAACAAGAAUAUGGAAAAACUAAUAGCUUAAAUAGAGAGUAAAUAAUAAGCUGAAAUAUAUAUAAUAAUUGGAUGGUGUGUGAACAGAUUGAAGCACCGUGGUCCUGAUUGGAGUGGACUCUACCAACACGGAGACUGCUAUUUGGCCCAUCAACGCCUUGCCAUCGUUGAUCCUAAUUCAGGUGACCAACCUCUCUUUAAUGAAGACAAGAGUGUUGCUGUCACUGUAAGCCUCUCUCUCUAUGUUUCAAUAGUUGUACAUCUUCAGCCUAUAUAUGAUGACUCAUUUUUAACUUUUCAAAAAUUUAAGGGCUAAUUUAUGUGGUGAAAACUAGGUGAAUGGGGAGAUUUACAACCACGAACAACUGAGGAAGAAGUUGGUAAACCACAAAUUCAGGUCUGGCAGUGAUUGUGAUGUUAUUGCCUAUCUGGUAAAACUCCCCAUUGCGAAACUUUUGAGGGAUACAACUGAUUUGGGGUGCAAUUUUUUCAAAUAUAAAAAUUGUUUCUUAAACUUGUACUAUAUUACAGUAUGAGGAGUAUGGGGAAGACUUUGUGGACAUGUUGGAUGGAAUCUUCUCAUUUGUGUUGCUAGAUGCCCGUGACAAUAGCUUCAUUGUUGCUCGUGAUGCUAUUGGGAUCACCUCCCUCUAUAUCGGCUGGGGCCUUGAUGGUAUUACAUCUUGCUUUCUCUAAUAGAAUUUAUUUUAGUUAGCCGUUGUUUUACGAUUUUGACACUCUUCAGUUCACUACUGAUAUUUAUAGUAAUUGACCGCUCGCGAUAGAAAAUGUAUGUGGGGCUUUGAGGAGACUGGUUUUGCUAAGUUGUUUUACUUGUUAUAUAUAUUCAGGUUCGAUUUGGGUAUCAUCAGAGUUGAAAGGAUUGAAUGAUGCUUGUGAACAGUUUGAGAGCUUUCCGCCUGGACACAUGUACACUAGCAAAUCAAGAGGACUCAGGAGGUGGUACAAUCCACUCUGGUUCUCUGACUCUAUUCCAUCGGUUCCAUAUGAUCCGUUUGUUCUCAGACAUGCACUUGAGAAUGUAAGAAUGAAGAGUUGCUAUCUGAAAAACAUUGGACACCUACAUUAAACCAAGAAACAAUUUUUUGUUCUUUGGCUUUCUGUAAGUUUAUCUUACGUGUUAUAUGUGAUAUAUUUGUAGGCUGUGAUCAAAAGGCUAAUGACUGAUUUCCCUUUUGGAGUUUUGCUAUCCGGAGGCCUUGAUUCUUCAUUGAUUACUUCUAUAACGGCUCGGUACUUGGCUGCUACCAAGGCUGCCAAACACGGGGGAAAGCUCCAUUCUUUCUGUAUCGGCCUAGAGGUAGUCUAAUAGUAUAGGAUGAAUCCUUUCAAGUACAGCUUUAAAGGAUUCAGUUGGUCUUAAAAUUUGCUUAUCGAUAUCUCUGCAGGGUUCACCCGAUUUGAAAGCUGCAAGGGAGGCUGCAGAUUAUUUGGGCACUGUCCAUCAUGAGUUUCACUUCACCGUUCAAGUACUGACCCAAGAUUUAGUAUUAGUUUUAAUUCAAGCAUGGGCAUCUAACUUUGCUAAUUUUCACUCCGAUGUGGCAGGAUGGAAUUGAUGCGAUUGAAGAUGUUAUCUACCACAUUGAAACCUAUGAUGUGACCACAAUCAGGGCAAGCACUCCUAUGUUUUUGAUGGCACGGAAGAUCAAAUCACUAGGAGUGAAGAUGCUUAUUUCUGGUGAAGGAGCCGAUGAGGUUUUUGGUGGAUAUUUGUAUUUCCACAAGGCACCAAAUAAGGAAGAAUUCCACCGUGAAACUUGCCGCAAGGUACUUGGUAGUCACCACUUCAAUUACCACCAUUGGAAUCCGAAAGCAAUGAUUUAACAGAAACCUAGUUUUUUUUUUUUUUUGGAUACAUUUGUCCAGAUCAAAGCACUUCAUCAGUAUGAUUGCCUGAGAGCUAACAAAGCAACAUCAGCUUGGGGAUUGGAGGUUCGAGUACCUUUCUUAGACAAAGAAUUUCUCAACGUUGCCAUGUCUAUAGACCCCAAAUCAAAGAUGGUAUGUAAACAAGUAUUAUUUUUAGUAAAAAGGACCAGCAUAUUGUUCCUAGAAAAGCUUGGUUUGUUCAUCAAUGGGAGAGAUUUAGACUGAUCAAGAAAGCUUCUCCAUGUUAUGAAUCAGAUCAAAAAGGAUGAAGGACGCAUUGAGAAGUGGGUUCUUAGAAAGGCAUUUGAUGAUGAGGAGUGUCCAUAUCUGCCUAAGGUCAUAUAACAUCUUUUUUAUUUCUUAAUUUUAGAGUUAGUACCCAAAUAAACUCUCCUCUUCUAUUUGAUGCCCUGCAGCAUAUCUUGUAUCGACAGAAAGAACAAUUUAGUGAUGGCGUUGGUUAUAGUUGGAUCGAUGGUCUUAAGGCGCAUGCUGCGGAUCAUGUAAAAACUGCCUUCUUAUUGCUUUCAAUUGAAUAACUAUCUAUCAUUUCCAUUUGUUGAUAAAUUCUAACCUACCUUAUACUUUCAGGUGAGUGAUAAGAUGAUGGUUAAUGCUUCUUGUAUCUUUCCUCACAACACCCCGAAGACAAAAGAAGCAUAUUACUACAGGAUGAUUUUCGAGAGAUUCUUCCCUCAGGUGAUUUCUGGUUUGAAGUCUUUAACUUUGUCAAUAGCAUCUGAUUGCUGAAGUGAUCAUCCUUAUUUGCUGGUUUUAACAGAACUCGGCUAGAUUGACAGUCCCUGGAGGAGCUAGCGUGGCAUGCAGCACUGCUAAAGCUGUUGAGUGGGAUGUUGCCUGGAAGAACAACCUUGAUCCUUCAGGGAGGGCUGCCCUGGGAGUCCAUCUCUCAGCUUACGCAAUGUGCAAAUCUCCUGUCCUUUAGACCUUAAUUUUUUAUUCGACCAACUCGAGUCUAGGUACUUCAACUAAUUUCGCAAUUAGGGUUGGUUAUCUCAUCUUUAAAUUAGGGGCGUUUGUUAUGAGAACUUUGUUAGAGCUUUCUAUUCCAAAAUUAAGUUUAGCUAUGACGAUGAUAGUUUAACUUUCAUUUUCGUCAGUUCUUUUGUUAUGGGUGGAGAUGUUGAUAUAUUUGUUUCCUUCUUUGCGAGACAUCUUUCCAUUCCUAACAAGGGUGACGGUAACAGUUAUGGCGGAUGGCCUAUUCUCUCCGGACCUUAUCUAACCUAACAAAUAUGUCGUUGACCUUAAUUUGCACGAUAGGAUUCUUCAUCUUAUUUUUACUUGGAUAAUGGUCCCUACCAACAAGCAUUACGAUAAUUGGAUACAGCAUUGCUUUCACAUCAACCGUCACUUUGACUUAGUUUUAGUUAUUUUUCUUAACAUUGUCAACAUCAUCCGUUUUUCUGUGUCUAGUAACAAAACGCUUAGGUAUGGAACUUUCUUUUCCAAUAUUUUUCGAGCCUUGAAGUUAAAAGUCCAUGUUGAUCUCGGUCGAGCUAGUACCUUUUAUUUCGAUAUAUCGGCUUCUUAUAGUUGUGGUUGGAUUAAACGCGAUAGUUAAUGGAUUCACAACCCCGAUUGUGUUGGUCAAUAAGCACAAGGAGCGACUGCUGAUCAACAGGAGGAAGGCGUGUCACGUGAAGAUGAUCCUCCGCCUCCGAGAAUGUAUAUUCCCGCUUUGAUGGCUCCUUUGUCUCCUUGUACCCUUAGUCUUUUUGCUGCUAUACAUGGGUUUCUCUCCGUGUUAAUGCUCAGUUUGAUGUAUUAAUCAUCUAUGUUAAUGAUCGGUACAAUUUUUUGGAUGACCAUAUCUCGGACGUUGCCCAUCGGUUCCCUGAACUUUUGGACGCUUGGCUUAAUACUCUUAGUAGUUGUUUGAUUAGAAUGUUUGUUACUUAGAUUGUUUAUUUCUACUUUGAAUGAUACUAUGUUAUGUCUCUAUUUUUCUUUUAAUGUUAUAUGCAUGUUACUAUGGAGAUGUAUAUAUAUAUAUAUUUCUAAUAUGAUUGUGAUGUGUUUUUUUACUUGUGUUAAUACUUUAACAUAAAUAUAAAAAAAUCUCAUUGUUCAAAUAUAAAUUUAACGCUUGCAUUGCACGAGAUAAAUAUUAUAUGAUAUUGUUGGUAUUGUUCUAUUAAAGGUUAUUGUUGGUUAGAGUGAAAAAAAAAGUCGGUUUAGAUCAAUUUAAUUAAUUAAUUUAUCAUAUUUGAUUUUUCCAAUUUCAAUUAAGGUUAUUAUAUUGGUUAGGUUGAUUAAAGGUUUGACUAGGUUAAUUGAUUUUCGAUUGUUGAAAUUUGUUACUAAAUUGAUUAACUUAACUAAGUUUUUAUAUAGGGGCAUAUCCAGGGAGUUGGCAGUAGAGCCCGGCCCGGCCCAAAGGCCUGCCUAAAAUGUGAGAGGGUUUGGGCAAAAAUAUAGGCUAGAAAAAUGGGCUUGGGCAAAAAAGUAAGGUCCGUUUAAAAAUGGGCCAGGCCUCGGGUAAGGCAUUUUUAGCCCGGGCCCGGCCCGAAUUUACUAAAUAAAAAAAUAUUUUUUAAUAUUAUUUUCUCCCUAUUUUGCUACUAUUUUAGUAUUAUGUUACUACUAUUUUGUUGUUAUUGUUUGGAUAUUAUAUAAAACUUAUUUUAUUGUUAAUUUUUUUAUUAUUUUAAAGACAUUUGCUACUUUUGUUAUUAUUUUAGAGACAUUUGCUUGUUAAAUUGCAUCUAUUUUAGUGUUAUUUAAGUAUACAUAUUUUUUAAAAUUUAUUUUCAAUUUGUUAAAAAAUAUUUAUUUUAAUUUUUUAUUAUUUUUGAUGGUUUAUAUAUAUUUUAAAAUUAUAUAAAAAUAAUAUAAAAAUUAAUAUGGACUUGCCAGGUCGGGCUUGGGUAAAAUUUUAGGCCAAUUUUUCGGGCCAGGCAGGGCUUGGGCCUAAAUUUUUAGUUGGGCCCAGCUUGGCCCGGCCCAUGCACACCUUUAGUUGGCAGGGCUGCGACCCCCUAAAAUAGAAAAUUAUACUUUGACCCCCUCUAAAAAUGAUAAAAAAUUAAUUUAAUCAUUUAAAAAUUACAUUUUUACUAUAGUAAAAAUUACAAUUUAAUUUUGGCCUCCUAAAAAAAUUUACUGGCUUCACUUGUUUAUAUAUAUAUACAUAUAUUGUUUAUUUUAAAUAUAUUUAUACUAUAUAUUUUUUAAAUUAAAUUCAACCCAAAUUACAAACUUAAUCCAAAUUCAAUAACCCAAUUAUUAAUUAUUUAACCCAAUCCAAUAGACCAAACCAACCCAAAUGUGAACUAUUUUACCCAACCCAAUUCAAGAUAUAAUAACCUAUGUAUAGCGCAAGCCACCAUCUCCACAUUUUCAAUUAAUAAGGAUUAAUAUCUCAUUUGGUACUUAUAUUUAGUUUCAAUAUUUAAUUUGGUAUUAGAAUUUUUAUUUCAAUUUGGUAUCUAAGUUUGGUUCUAUAUUCAAUUGAUACCCAAGUUAAACAACAUCAUGUGACCUGAUGAAUUAUUUGACAUGUCUACUCUAGGUAACAAAUUAAAUAUUGAAAUCAAACUUAGGUAUUUAUAUAUGCAAAGGCGAAUCCUUUUGAGGCCUAGGCAGCUUGGCCCCUAAAUAUUGGGAAAUCUUGAUUUUUCCCUUCAAACUUUUAGAAAAUUUUGAUUAGGCCCCUUCAAAUUUUUAAAAUUCUUAUUAUACCUUCUAUUUUAUUUUUUUUCUUUGAAAAUUAUAAUUAACUUCUCUUAAAAUUUUUAAAAAUUCUUAUUAAUCUCACAAAAAUUUCAAUUAGACCCCAAUUUUUUAAAAAAAGAUUUCAUUGAACUUCUAAUUUUUUUAAAAAAAAUUUACUACACCCCUUCAAAAUUUAGCUCCCAUUACAGGAUCCAUCCCUGCUUGUACGAGACAGAGAAAAACUAAGUAUGCAUUUGAAAAAACUCAAGCACCAUGCAUUGGCAAAUUAUUUACACUACUACUACAACUUUUACCAGAGAUAUAAUUUAUAACUUCAUAGUUGAUAAAGUUAAUUUUUUAAUAAUUUAUUUAAUUGAACCGCCUAGAUCAAUUAAAUCGGCAAAUUAAUAAUCUAAUCAAAGAGGAAUCUGAUUUUAAAUAGUUUAAUAAAAAAAAUGCCUUUGUGGGCUAACUUCUCUAUGCUUUGGAGUAUUUAGCCAGAAAAAAAAAACAUAUGAUUAGGGGGAAAAUGUCAAUAAUAUAAUUUAAUUACAAAUCAGCAAUCAAUUCAACUUUAAACCAAAUUAAGGAAGAUGGAAAGGACAAAAGAAAACACCAAUCAAUUUAUAUGAAAUUAAUUAUACGAAUAUUUAAGUGUUUUAAAUUUAAAAUUUAACAAAUUCGUUUCACGCAAAGGGAAGACAAAAAGAGUUAGGAACUGAAAUGAUACCCUUUUUUUUGCGUUAAAAAAAAGGUUAUAUUUAAAAAUAAAUUCAAUUUUAUUUUUUCCACGAAAAGAGAAAAAAAAUUGACAAUUAAUAAGUUUAGAUAGGUGUUAAAUAGAUACCUAAUUUGGGAUUUUUUUUUUUAGCUAUAAACUACAACAAAUCACUAAGCUUUUUUUAUCUUAAAAAAACCUUAAUGAACAAAAAGACUAAGCCCUAUAAUCACUUAAUAUAAAUUAACGUUUUAAUUAAAAUAAAAAUUUACUUGAAUACAGAUAAAAAAAGAUUUAUUUAAGGGUAAAAAGUAUAACUUACGGAUAAAUUUUAUGAGCAUUUUAACAUGAAAAAUGUAUAAAUAAAAAAAUAGGAGUUUUUUUUAAAAAUUUAUAAACAAAUUGAAAAUAUAACAUGUGUUUUAUAUAAUAUAUUAAAAACUAAAAAUUACAUAAAGGAAUGAACGUUUGUGAUGCCCUGCUGAUGUGUAUAAGGUAAUUUUCCUUUCAAUAUUCUAUCCCUUAUAAUUCCAAGUCUACUUCUUAGCUCCUAUCUAAUGUAUCCACUCAAAGAUUGAUUAAUUCCACGUGGCCCAAUAACAAAGAAAUUGCUACCAUCUUUUAGCCAAUAAAAUCCCAUUUUUAGAUUCCCUCCAAAUCCUUGGACCAGCUUUAUCCACUUCCUUCUCUUAACCUUCAUACACACAGUUCAAACUUCCCCCAAUCUCCCAAAAAAAAAAAUAAAAUAAAGAACACACAACAAUGGCCGCCAACACACUAAUGAGCUGUGGCAUAGCCACCACAUUUCCUUCACUUCUUUCCUCAUCAAAGUCCAAGUUCAGUGGCGCCGCCGUAUCGUUGCCUAGUGCUGUUGGUACCAAUGUUGGCCACCGUGUUAGCAUGUCAGCUGAUUGGAUGCCUGGUCAACCUAGACCACCUUACCUUGAUGGCUCAGCACCAGGGUAAGGUUUCAAAGUAGCUAAAAAAAUUAACAACAAAUGUAUUUAUAGCCAUUUUUCUUACAUCUAAAGCUUUUUUUUUUCAGUGACUUUGGGUUUGACCCACUAAGACUUGGUGAGGUCCCUGAGAACCUUGAGAGGUACAAAGAAUCUGAGUUGAUUCACUGCAGAUGGGCUAUGCUUGCUGUUGUAAGUGUUCCAUCUUUGUUAAUUUAAUUAGCAGACAAAUUGUAUAGAAGGUUCAUGUGCUAUGCAUCUUUUACAAAUUUAAUCUCAUUUAAUUAUUCAAUUCCUAGUUCAAAUUUGGGUUAAUUUUUGCAGCCAGGUAUAUUGGUACCAGAGGCCUUAGGGUUGGGAAACUGGGUAAAAGCUCAAGAAUGGGCAGCAAUUCCAGGUGGCCAAGCCACUUACUUAGGGAACCCAGUCCCAUGGGGUACCCUCCCCACCAUCUUGGUCAUUGAAUUCCUAUCCAUCGCCUUCGUUGAGCACCAACGAAGCAUGGAGAAGGACACCGAGAAGAAGAAGUACCCCGGCGGCGCUUUCGACCCCUUGGGAUUCUCCAAGGACCCCAAAAAGUUCGAAGAAUACAAGGUCA
rnacentral:lncRNA from 1 species